rnacentral:rRNA from 1 species
GAAUAUUGGGAAGGCCUAAAAAUGCAAAGCCGAGGGGUACGAUUCUUUCGGGAAUCUGAGACCGGCGCACGGGUGCGUAACGCGUAUGCAACUUGCCCUACUGAAAAGGAUAGCCCUUCGAAAGGAGGAUUAAUACUUUAUAACAGAUUGAAUGGCAUCAUUUAAUUUUGAAAGAUUUAUCGCAGUAGGAUAGGCAUGCGUAAGAUUAGUUAGUUGGAGAGGUAACGGCUCACCAAGACGAUGAUCUUUAGGGGGCCUGAGAGGGUGAACCCCCACACUGGUACUGAGACACGGACCAGACUCCUACGGGAGGCAGCAGUGAGGAAUAUUGGACAAUGGGUGGAAGCCUGAUCCAGCCAUCCCGCGUGUAGGAUGACUGCCUUAUGGGUUGUAAACUACUUUUAUCUGGGGAUAAACCUACUCACGUGUGAGUAGCUGAAGGUACCAGAAGAAUAAGCACCGGCUAACUCCGUGCCAGCAGCCGCGGUAAUAA